rnacentral:lncRNA from 1 species
AAAAAACAAAAAAGGCAAAAAAAACAAAAAAGGCAAAAAAAACAAAAAAGGCAAAAAAAACAAAAAAAAACAAAAAAAAUUCAUAUUAUUAAAGUGAAUGGUAGAACAAAUAAAAAUAAUAAAAAAAAAAAGUUGUGUUAACAAUUAAUACAUGUUUAUUCACCCAUGUUAUCACCCGAUUACCCUUUUAACUAUUUUUGCAGGCAUGUGUUACAGCAUUAAGGAAAAAAAACUCAAGUGCAAUCAAAAAAUUACUACACUAAGGCUAUAUUAUUUUUGCAUUUUAGUACUAAUAGAAAUGAUUAAAACAUGUAUAAAAAAUGCACGUUUUCAUAUCCUGUGGACUAAAGAGGAGCUCGCAAGCUUAAUCGAAGAAGAUAACAAUGGGUACAGCCAAAAUAAGAACAAGCUAGACACUACUAAUGAUAAGUCAGAUAGUAAUAAUGAUAAACCAGAUAGUAAUAAUGAUAAACCAGAUAGUAAUAAUGAUAAAUCAGAUAGUAAUAAUGAUAAACCAGAUAGUAGUAAUGAUAAACCAGAUAGUAGUAAUGAUAAACCAGAUAGUAGUAAUGAUAAACCAGAUAGUAGUAAUGACAAGGUAGACUGUGUUGAGAAAAAGGCUAUUAAAACAGAAAGCAUACAUGACACAAUAAACUAUCUUAAAAAUUUUGUGUUUAAGAAAUCAACAGAUAAGAACGACGUAGGUAGCAAUAAUAGCGAAAAGGAUGAAAAAAAGGAUGAAAAAAGCGAUGACAAUAGCCAUCGUGAUGAUGAAGCUAGUUGCCAAAAUAACAAUAACAAUGGAGGAGAGGAUAUAAAAAGUGAAUGUAUAAAAAAAAAUAACAGUGGAAAUGACAGUGGAAAUAACAGUGGAAAUGACAGUGAAAAUAACAGUGGAAAUAACAGUGGAAAUAACAGUGGAAAUAACAGUGGAAAUAACAGUGGAAAUAACAGUGGAAAUGACGGUAGUGAAAUAAACGAAACUAUGCUUAGCCAAAGUACAGAAGUAACACAAGAAGGACAAGUACAUGAUAAGAGUAAGACUGAUGUAUAUGAAGGUAAUUGUUUGGAUAAUAGUUCUGCUCGAACUUCUAAAGAAAAAUCAUGUGUUGAUGUCAUUAGUGAUGGAGUAGUUCAAAACGAAAAGGAGUUAGAUAACUUAGAACGUGAUGAAGACACAAAUGAACAUAUUCUAAGCGCAUUCAAAAACGACAGUAGUAAUAAUAAUGGUGAUAUUUUUAUAAAAUCAAAAAAAGGAGUUAACAUAAUACACAUAGUAAACACAACAGUAGAUAGUAACGAAAAUACAAAAGAAAAAAUGGACCUUUUGCGCAUGAAUAUAACAAGUUUCCCAUUAAUAUAUGACUUAAGUAUUAAUAAAAUAAUGGAACUGCUUUCAUUUAAGAGAGUAAAAGAAAAUGAUGAAGAGGCAAAAAAAAAUGAUGAAGAGGCAAAAAAAAAUGAUGAAGAGGCAAAAAAAAAUGAUGAAGAGGCAA